CACGUAGGGGCCAAGCGUUGUCCGGAUUUAUUGGGCGUAAAGAGCUCGUAGGCGGUUGGGUAAGUCGGGUGUGAAAACUCCAGGCUCAACUUGGAGACACCACCCGAUACUGCUCUGACUUGAGUUCGGUAGGGGAGUGGGGAAUUCCUGGUGUAGCGGUGAAAUGCGCAGAUAUCAGGAGGAACACCGGUGGCGAAGGCGCCACUCUGGGCCGAAACUGACGCUGAGGAGCGAAAGCGUGGGUAGCAAACAGG
rnacentral:rRNA from 1 species